rnacentral:rRNA from 1 species
GACGAACGCUGGCGGCGUGCUUAACACAUGCAAGUCGAACGGAAAGGCCCUGCUUUUGUGGGGUGCUCGAGUGGAGAAGGGGUGAGUAACACGUGAGUAACCUGCCCUUGACUUUGGGAUAACUUCAGGAAACUGGGGCUAAUACCGGAUAGGCGCUCCUGCUGCGUGGUGGGGGUUGGAAAGUUUCGGCGGAUGGGGAUGGACUCGCGGCUUAUCAGCUUGUUGGUGGGGUAGUGUCUUACCAAGGCUUUGACGGGGAGCCGGCCUGAGAGGGUGACCGGCCACAGUGGGACUGAGAUGCGGCCCAGACUCCUACGGGAGGCAGCAGUGGGGAAUAUUGCACAAUGGGCGGAAGCCUGAUGCAGCAACGCCGCGUGCGUGAUGACGUCCUUCUGGUUGUAAACCGCUUGCGCCUGUGACGAAGCGUUAGUGACGGUAAUGGGUAAAGAAGCACCGGCUAACUACGUG